AGAGUUUGAUCCUGGCUCAGGACGAACGCUGGCGGCGCGCCUAACACAUGCAAGUCGAACGAGCGAGAGAGAGCUUGCUUUCUCGAGCGAGUGGCGAACGGGUGAGUAACGCGUGAGGAACCUGCCUCAAAGAGGGGGACAACAGUUGGAAACGACUGCUAAUACCGCAUAAGCCCACAGGUCGGCAUCGACCAGAGGGAAAAGGAGCAAUCCGCUUUGAGAUGGCCUCGCGUCCGAUUAGCUAGUUGGUGAGGUAACGGCCCACCAAGGCAACGAUCGGUAGCCGGACUGAGAGGUUGAACGGCCACAUUGGGACUGAGACACGGCCCAGACUCCUACGGGAGGCAGCAGUGGGGAAUAUUGCACAAUGGGGGAAACCCUGAUGCAGCGACGCCGCGUGGAGGAAGAAGGUCUUCGGAUUGUAAACUCCUGUUGUUGAGGAAGAUAAUGACGGUACUCAACAAGGAAGUGACGGCUAACUACGUGCCAGCAGCCGCGGUAAAACGUAGGUCACAAGCGUUGUCCGGAAUUACUGGGUGUAAAGGGAGCGCAGGCGGGAAGACAAGUUGGAAGUGAAAUCUAUGGGCUCAACCCAUAAACUGCUUUCAAAACUGUUUUUCUUGAGUAGUGCAGAGGUAGGCGGAAUUCCCGGUGUAGCGGUGGAAUGCGUAGAUAUCGGGAGGAACACCAGUGGCGAAGGCGGCCUACUGGGCACCAACUGACGCUGAGGCUCGAAAGUGUGGGUAGCAAACAGGAUUAGAUACCCUGGUAGUCCACACCGUAAACGAUGAUUACUAGGUGUUGGAGGAUUGACCCCUUCAGUGCCGCAGUUAACACAAUAAGUAAUCCACCUGGGGAGUACGACCGCAAGGUUGAAACUCAAAGGAAUUGACGGGGGCCCGCACAAGCAGUGGAGUAUGUGGUUUAAUUCGACGCAACGCGAAGAACCUUACCAAGUCUUGACAUCCCUUGACGAUGCUGGAAACAGUAUUUCUCUUCGGAGCAAGGAGACAGGUGGUGCAUGGUUGUCGUCAGCUCGUGUCGUGAGAUGUUGGGUUAAGUCCCGCAACGAGCGCAACCCUUAUCUUUAGUAGCCAGCGGUCCGGCCGGGCACUCUAGAGAGACUGCCAGGGAUAACCUGGAGGAAGGCGGGGAUGACGUCAAAUCGUCAUGCCCCUUAUGAUUUGGGCUACACACGUGCUACAAUGGCGUAAACAAAGGGAAGCGAGAUUGUGAGAUGGAGCAAAUCCCAAAAAUAACGUCCCAGUUCGGACUGUAGUCUGCAACCCGACUACACGAAGCUGGAAUCGCUAGUAAUCGCGGAUCAGAAUGCCGCGGUGAAUACGUUCCCGGGUCUUGCACUCACCGCCCGUCA
rnacentral:rRNA from 1 species